rnacentral:rRNA from 1 species
AAAUACGACCAUAGGGUGUGGAAAACAGGGCUUCCCGUCCGCUCAGCCGUACUUAAGCCACACGCCGGGAGGUUAGUAGUUGGGUGGGUGACCACCAGCGAAUCCCUUCUGUUGUAUGUU